GGCUGUGUGGUCUAGUGGUAUGAUUCUCGCUUAGGGUGCGAGAGGUGCCGAAUAUAAUUCUCGGCACAGCCC